CACAGCCCUGCUGUUCCCAACAGCUUAAGAGCAGCCGCAAGCCUCCUCAGACCAAGAGUCCAGGCCCAGAACCCCGGAGUGGGAUCUCCAGCCCUGUCUCCAUUGGACACGGGUGAUGUCGAGAGCGCCCUAUGGCAUAGCUCCUUUAUCCCGCGGAUCCCGAGGCUACCUGGGCGCCUGGCGGUAGAGAUGGGGAGGCCUCCGAGUCCAGAUCCUCUCCAGCACCCAGAAUCUCAGUUUCCUGAACCCUGGAAGUGGGAUGCCCCAAUCCUCAGAUAUGAUGUCAAAAUGCUAUGCCAGCCUCAGGCUUGGGUCUUCUCCUCAAUCGAGAAGGUGAUCGAGGAGGAGACAUCGGGUGAUCAUGCCUACGAUAAACUUGUGGCUUAAGAGGUGUUAAGAGCUUUUUCCUCCUCUGACAUCUGACACGGUAGUCCUGAGAGCUGGGGAAUGGAGACCAUGACUCAGGUGUUCUAUCAUGCAACGUUCCAAGCACUGCCUCAGUUUCCCCUUCUGCAGAACAGACCGUGUGACGCUGUCAGAGAUGACCCCAGGCUGUCUGGCACAAGGGUGACUGUGGCCCUCGGGCAGCAGGUUGGAAAGCCCAGUCUUGGUAUCUCAGAAGAUGGCAAGCAGAAAGAUUUGUUAACCUGGCUACCUGGGAGGCGGCAGGACGCAGGUCACCUCUGGCCACAUCCCGUUCAUCUCUCACUCUGGAUGCAUAUCUAGGGGACAAUCCGGUCACACUGAGAGGUCAAGUAGGGUUUCCACUGGGGCCACCAAGUGUUGUCCAUCCCCCUUCACCUCCCUUUCCUGGCUAGUUCUUGUCAACUUGAGUCACCCAAGAAGCGGGAACCUCAGUUCUGUGGGAUUCCUAGGCAGGUGGUCCUGGGUUGGAUAAGAGAUCAGGGUAAGCAAGGCUUGGGGAGCAAGCCAGUGAGCAGCACCCCUCCAUGCUCUCCACAUCAGCUCCUGCCUUGAGUUUCUGCCCUGAUUUCCCUGCAUGAUAGACUGCGACACAGGACUGACGCCAAAUAAACCGUUUCUUCCCCC